rnacentral:rRNA from 1 species
UGCCGGAUGCUCCAAUGCGAUGCAUGUCGCGUUGGGAAAGAUUUCAUCGGUAUGGGAUGGGGUCGCGUCCUAUCAGGUAGUCGGCGGGGUAACGGCCCACCGAGCCUACGACGGGUAGCCGGCCUGAGAGGGCGACCGGCCACAUUGGGACUGAGAUACGGCCCAGACUCCUACGGGAGGCAGCAGUGGGGAAUAUUGCACAAUGGGCGCAAGCCUGAUGCAGCGACGCCGCGUGCGGGAUGGAGGCCUUCGGGUUGUAAACCGCUUUUGUCGGGGAGCAAGCCUUCGGGUGAGUGUACCCUUCGAAUAAGCACCGGCUAACUACGUGCCAGCAGCCGCGGUAAUACGUAGGGUGCAAGCGUUAUCCGGAAUUAUUGGGCGUAAAGAGCUCGUAGGCGGUUCGUCGCGUCCGGUGUGAAAGUCCAUCGCUUAACGGUGGAUCUGCGCCGGGUACGGGCGGGCUGGAGUGCGGUAGGGGAGACUGGAAUUCCCGGUG